AUGGAUGGAAGGAGUAGUCCAGGGAAAACCCAACAAAGGGAACCUGAAGUAGAGAAGGAACUGCAACAGGAACCAACAUUUCUCCACGGGAUUAGGAAGCUCACCAUUGAUUAUUCUCGCUGGCCAGGCAAAGCCUGGACUUUAGGAGCCGGCUAUGGAAAAGUGAGCAAAUAUGGAGAUGGAAACUCUGGGAGAAAUCCAGGGGUAAGGAAAUUUUAUUUCUUAUGCCCAUGUGGCCUUGGUGGCUUCCCUUAUCUAUAUGCAGUGUCUGGCUCUCAGUCAGUACUCAGGAGUUGCUUGCUGGGGACCGUGUGUGUGUGUGUGUGUGUGUGUGUGUGUGUGUGUGUGUGUGGUGUUUGUGAUAUUAUGAUGCUAACUGGGGCCUCAGAAGAACCCCCCACAUGAUUUCAUCUUUGAACAAGUGUACACGGGAUAAGGAUUAGCCAAGAUACACUGGACUUGGAGCUACAGAAUUACUAGCACUUCAGGCAGCCAUGGAGAUGAGGUACACUGUCCCCAAUUCUCUUAUGAACUGUAUUCUUUCUAGCUCCCCCUCCACCAAACAUCACCCUCUGCUCCCUGAUUCCCAAGACCAAGAAGUGAUUGUGUCCAGCUCAUCUUUGGAGCCCAGGCCAUGUUACAAGUCGGGCAAGUCUAUGGAUCCACUGAAAAAGUAAUAAACUAAUAUUCACCUUAUAGAACUAUUUUAGG
rnacentral:lncRNA from 12 species